GGCAGGGGCGCAUGAGCUGAGAAGAACCCUUUGAACCUGAUCCGGUUAGUACCGGUGUAGGGAGCCUGAGA
rnacentral:ncRNA from 1 species